AAAAAUGGUAGCCCGGGCGGGGCAGCCUUCGGGCUGGCCGGUAUCCAUUGAGGCCGGUUACGCCAACCCUGUUCGGGCUACCACCAGU
rfam:Buttiauxella agrestis ATCC 33320 GBAG.assembly.054, whole genome shotgun sequence.